rfam:Clostridium estertheticum subsp. estertheticum strain DSM 8809, complete genome.
GGAGGAAGGCCCUCCGAAAUCGCCAUGCAGGUGGAGAUUUCAAACUACCUUAAGGUGCUAUAAUCAAAAGUUAUGGUAUUGAGCGUUAAGGAAAAGGCAGAGUUAAAUCUGUCAAGU